CAAGAUUUGCAUCAACAACGCUAGUCACUACUUCAUGCCCACAACACGGUAACUUAAUUUCAUUUCAAGAUUUAGUACUAGUCACCAAAAUACUAACAAACCAUAUACGCAAUAUGUAAUGCAGCUUCAUGGAGUGGAUGAUAACAUCGAUAAAAGCAAGAAGAUUUUGACAGCCAUCUCAAGAAGGAUGAGUAGGAAUAAAUGGAUUCUUGGCUCCUUCAUGGCAGCCAUAGUCCUUGCAAUUAUACUUAUAACUUUUGACUAAUGAUAAACGCUAUCCAAUAAUCACAAAGUUAACACUUGACACGGCAAUUUCAAUAGCUAUAGCAAUAAUCCAAAACCCAAUGUUUUGUAAUUCUAGAAUAGAACAAACUAAAAGGGGUUUCAAUUUCAAACGAUCCACAUAAUGAAGAAGCAAUAACAGCAAAAAGGUGGGGGACUCACGCAAAAGGAGAAGGCUCAACAAAGAGAGCAAUUCGACGAGGCCUUGAAUUGUUCUCAGUGACCCUCUUCUCCUUCCUCCUCACGCAAUUCUCGUAGAGGACCAAACCUCUGACAUUAACAUCACACCAUAGUCUUAGAUCUUAAAAUAAAAUAGAACCAGAAUAAACAUGACCAUGAUUUCUAAAUUUAGAAAAUAGGAGAUUACGAUUAGGUCAUAGUUUCCACCUGAAAUAGGAAAUUUCCAAAUGAAACUGAAGUUGGCUCUAAAAAGAGUUCAGUAACAGUCAGAAAAAGAUACCUGGUUAUUGUAAGCUUGAUUGAGAGAGCAGAAAAGGACCAAAAUAGGAGGAGCGACGGCGGCAACAGAGAGAAGGAGCGAUGACAGCAGCGGAGCGACGGCGGCGCGAGCAAACAUAGUAACGGCAGCAACAGAGCGCAACGGCGGUGCGAGCAAACGGAGUGACGGCGGCGCAACCGUGACACCGACAGUGGAGAAUGAGGGUUGGUGAAUUUGGGGUAAAAUGAGGGUUUAUGAGAAAAUGAGGAAUUUGGGGUAAAAUUGUGUUUCUGAACUUAGAGGUGGGAAGUGGACACGGGGUUGUGUUUUUAAUUAGCAAUAAAAAUUG
rnacentral:lncRNA from 1 species